GGGCUAGCGCCGUGCUGGGAGCAGAGCCAGAGGCAGGGGAGGAAAGCCGUCCUGGGAGCAGAGCCAGAGGCAGAGGAACAGAGCCGUGCUGGGAGCAAAGUCACAGCAGCAGGUUGAGGGGCCAGAAGAGCAACCCAGGGAGCUGUGCUGGAGGCAGAGCAGCAGCAGUGGUGGAGCUGGAGGUUCCUGGAGCCUGUUCAUGAACUUGACGUCAGUGAAAGAGGAAGAUAAUGUGGAUGGUGUUUGGUGCAUCAGGAAAGCCUUCUGAUCAGGUUAACAGCAGAUGCAGUCCAAUCUCUGAACCCUGUUUGAAGAGCGUUCCACUGUAGCAUCCAGUCCCUGUCACUGGACACUCACAGGUUUUACCAGAUGCAACCUUGAGAUCUCUGCUCCCUGUGUUAUCAACGGCUGAGAGACUACAAAACCUCCGGAAGAAGCCACGAAAAAGCAAAGAAGACAUGCUGCAAGCA